AUACUUACCUGGCAGGGGAACACCAUGAUCAGGAACUUUUUCCAGAGAGAGGCUCACACACUUAGGGUGAGCUGACUCCUGAGAUUUCCACACACACAGGAAACUCGGCUGCAUAAUUUGUGGUAGUGAGGGACUGUAUUAGCUCUCUCUCC
rnacentral:snRNA from 1 species